rnacentral:rRNA from 1 species
GAUGAACGCUGGCGGCGUGCCUAAUACAUGCAAGCCGAGCGAACAGACGAGGAGCUUGCUCCUCUGAUGUUAGCGGCGGACGGGUGAGUAACACGUGGAUAACCUACCUAUAAGACUGGGAUAACUUCGGGAAACCGGAGCUAAUACCGGAUAAUAUAUUGAACAGCAUGGUUCAAUAGUGAAAGACGGUUUUGCUGUCACUUAUAGAUGGAUCCGCGCCGCAUUAGCUAGUUGGUAAGGUAACGGCUUACCAAGGCAACGAUGCGUAGCCGACCUGAGAGGGUGAUCGGCCACACUGGAACUGAGACACGGUCCAGACUCCUACGGGAGGCAGCAGUAGGGAAUCUUCCGCAAUGGGCGAAAGCCUGACGGAGCAACGCCGCGUGAGUGAUGAAGGUCUUCGGAUCGUAAAACUCUGUUAUUAGGGAAGAACAGAUGUGUAAGUAACUAUGCACGUCUUGACGGUACCUAAGCAGAAAGCCACGGCUAACUACGUG